rnacentral:rRNA from 1 species
UACGGAGGGUGCAAGCGUUAUCCGGAUUCACUGGGUUUAAAGGGUGCGUAGGUGGGCAAGUAAGUCAGUGGUGAAAUCUCCGGGCUUAACCCGGAAACUGCCAUUGAUACUAUUUGUCUUGAAUACUGUGGAGGUCAGCGGAAUAUGUCAUGUAGCGGUGAAAUGCUUAGAUAUGACAUAGAACACCAAUUGCGAAGGCAGCUGGCUACACAAUUAUUGACACUGAGGCACGAAAGCGUGGGAUCAAACAGG